rnacentral:rRNA from 1 species
UACAUGGGGUGCAAACGUUGCUCGGAAUUAUUGGGCGUAAAGCGCACGUAGGCGGUUCGUUAAGUCGGGGGUGAAAUCCUGGAGCUCAACUCCAGAACUGCCCUCGAUACUGGAAAGCUCGAGUCCGGGAGAGGUGAGUGGAACUGCGAGUGUAGAGGUGAAAUUCGUAGAUAUUCGCAAGAACACCAGUGGCGAAGGCGGCUCACUGGCCCGGUACUGACGCUGAGGUGCGAAAGCGUGGGGAGCAAACAGG